GAUUUCUGGCUUGGUGCGCCUGGCCCACUGCCUUCAGGUACGUGAGUGCCGGUGCGCGCCUGCCAUCCCUUCUAGAAAACGAUUCUGCCCUUCACUGGGCCGGAGUCGCGAUCUAGAUCUUUUACUUUGAAAAAAUUAGAGUGUUUAAAGCAGGCUUGCGCUAUGAAUACAUUAGCAUGGAAUAAUAAUCUAGGACUUCGGUUCUAUUUUGUUGGUUUCUAUAACUGAAGUAAUGAUUGAUAGGGAUAGUUGGGGGUGCUAGUAUUGGCCGGCCAGAGGUGAAAUUCUUGGAUUCGGUCAAGACUAACUUAUGCGAAAGCAUU
rnacentral:rRNA from 1 species